GACGAACGCUGGCGGCGUGCUUAACACAUGCAAGUCGAACGGAAAGGCCCUGCUUGCAGGGUACUCGAGUGGCGAACGGGUGAGUAACACGUGGGUGAUCUGCCCUGCACUUCGGGAUAAGCCUGGGAAACUGGGUCUAAUACCGGAUAGGAGCCAUUUUUAGUGUGAUGGUUGGAAAGUUUUUUCGGUGUAGGAUGAGCUCGCGGCCUAUCAGCUUGUUGGUGGGGUAAUGGCCUACCAAGGCGGCGACGGGUAGCCGGCCUGAGAGGGUGGACGGCCACAUUGGGACUGAGAUACGGCCCAGACUCCUACGGGAGGCAGCAGUGGGGAAUAUUGCACAAUGGGCGCAAGCCAGAUGCAGCGACGCCGCGUGGGGGAUGACGGCCUUCGGGUUGUAAACUCCGUUCGCUAGGGACGAAGCUUUUUGUGACGGUACCUAGAGAAGAAGCACCGGCUAACUACGUG
rnacentral:rRNA from 1 species